rnacentral:rRNA from 1 species
UACGAAGGGGGCUAGCGUUGCUCGGAAUCACUGGGCGUAAAGGGUGCGUAGGCGGGUCUUUAAGUCAGAGGUGAAAUCCUGGAGCUCAACUCCAGAACUGCCUUUGAUACUGGGAAUCUUGAGUAUGGAAGAGGUGAGUGGAACUGCGAGUGUAGAGGUGAAAUUCGUAGAUAUUCGCAAGAACACCAGUGGCGAAGGCGGCUCACUGGUCCAUAACUGACGCUGAGGCACGAAAGCGUGGGGAGCAAACAGG